rnacentral:rRNA from 1 species
GUGCACCAGGCGCGAAACCUUCACAAUGGGCGAAAGCCUGAUGAGGCUAUUUCAAGUGCCACCCGCUAAGGGUGGCUUUUCCCAAGUCUAAACAGCUUGGGGAAUAAGGGGAGGGCAAGUCUGGUGUCAGCCGCCGCGGUAAUACCAGCUCCUCGAGUGGUCGGGACGAUUAUUGGGCCUAAAGCAUCCGUAGCCGGUUCUGUAGGUCUCCUGUCAAAUUCAACGGCUCAACCGUUGAGCUGCAGGAGAUACCGCAGGGCUAGGAGGCGGAAGAGGUGGACGGUACUCUAUGGGUAGGGGUAAAAUCUUCUGAUCCAUGGAAGACCACCAGUGGCGAAGGCGGUCCACCAGAACGCGCUCGACGGUGAGGGAUGAAAGCUGGGGGAGCGAACCGGAUUAGAUACCCGGGUAGUCC